UGUUUUGUUGCUUUCUUUUGAUGAUAGAUAUGAUAUGAUAUGAUAUGCAUUGAGAAUUUGAGAGAGGGAGAUGAGCUGCGAUGAGCAGCAAGUUGGGUAGCUAGGUAGAAGAGGAAGGAAAGGCCGGCUUGUUGAUUGUUGUUCUUGGUUAAUUUGUUGCAUGGAAAAAGAGGUAUUGGCGUGCCUCAAUCCGAAGGCAUGGCUGAUAAUAAUUACAGGCAGGCGGGCAGCUCGAUGGAUGCAGCCAUGUUUGUUGGAUUGAGCCGCGUCAAUAUCUCUUCUUGCCUUUUAUCUAUCUAUCUACUUAUCAAGCUCGAUCAUGCCUGUCCACCUUCCUCCUGCUCACCGAGUUUUAGUUACGUUCGUCAGAUCUAUCAGCUCUGAAAUUUAAGCUGGCAACUCAUCAGUUGGCACAAAGAAAACAGACAUAUAGGAAAGGAAGGUUAGAUUCAGCCACACAGAUGCUAUUAUAUUGAAGUAGUGUGGGCUGAAAAAGCUUGUUGGAAAGCAAACACAAGAUCCAGCAACACAUAUGCAUGCAAAUUAGGCAGCUUCAAGUGACUCAGGAGAUAAAUUUGCAUCAAGCAUUAGUAGCGGAGCAGUGGAGAUAUGUAGACAGAACUGAUAUAUCCAGC